rnacentral:rRNA from 1 species
UGAGGAAUAUUGGGCAAUGCCCGCAAGGGUGACCCAGCAACGCCGCGUGGAGGAUGAAUGUCGUAAGAUUGUAAACUCCUGUUAGAGGUGAAGAAUAGUACCGGUUGGACCGGUAUAUGACUGUACCCUCAGAGAAAGCCCCGGCUAACUACGUGCCAGCAGCCGCGGUAAUACGUAGGGGGCAAGCGUUGUCCGGAUUUACUGGGUGUAAAGGGCGCGCGGGCGGGAUAAAAAGUCAGUGGUGAAAUCCUACAGCUUAACUGUAGAACUGCCUUUGAUACUUUUAUUCUUGAGUUCGGGAGAGAGAGACGGAAUUCCAGGUGUAGUGGUGAAAUACGUAGAUAUCUGGAAGAACACCAGUUGCGAAGGCGGUCUCUUGGUCCGACACUGACGCUGAGGCGCGAAAGCGUGGGGAGCAAACA